AUUCUAUGCGCAUAACACACAAAAUAUUCAACUAAACACAGUAUAAAUUUUUUUUUAAAAAAACUAAGUUCAUAAACAUUCAAUUUAACACCAAAGCAGCAUGAUAAAUAACAAUACCUUGACGAAAUUUUCGGGAACUUUAUCACAAAUUGCAAGUCGUUUCGAAUCUCUUACUUCUAUCACCAAAAUCUCAAAUCAACAACCGGAAAAACACACAAAAUCAAAAUAAAUAAUUAAACAGUUAAAUUAAACCGAAAAUUCGUGUACCUUCAGUAAUUGAAAAAAUCGAAUUGCGUUUUCGGAGUUAGAUGGAGUUGAAUCGUUGAAGUGAAAUGAGAAAAACCUAGAGAUGGCGAAAACUGUUGUAACGGAAGGAGUUAGGAGUCCGUUACUGUUAACGGAGAGAGGAGAAUCAGAGAGCGAAGCAACGAAACGGACGAAAUGGAGUAGUAGUGAUAAGAGGUAUCAGGAUUGUUCAUGGAGGAAGGGAAUUGGAUUGCGUUGUGAUUCCGGCGGAGACAUUUCCGAUCUGCGGCGGUGGAAUCUCUCUGUAACUGUGUGAAGUGAAGUGAAGUGAGAGAGGGAGAGUUUCCGAAAUCGUUGGGUUGGAGAGAGUUCUCGAGAGUCGAGAGGGUGAUUCUUUCUUUUCUUUUCUUUUUUAUUUAAUAUUUUUUGUUGGAAAAAGGUGUUUUAGAAUUUUCCUAAAUAAUAGUAAAGUAAUAACUGUUACAACUAUUUUGGUAGUAAAAAGUCACUUCU
rnacentral:lncRNA from 1 species